rnacentral:rRNA from 1 species
UACGAAGGGGGCUAGCGUUGUUCGGAAUUACUGGGCGUAAAGGGCGCGUAGGCGGCCGUUUAAGUUAGGUGUGAAAGUCCUGGGCUCAACCUGGGGACUGCACUUAAUACUGGAUGGCUUGAAUUCGGGAGAGGAUAGCGGAAUUCCCAGUGUAGAGGUGAAAUUCGUAGAUAUUGGGAAGAACACCGGUGGCGAAGGCGGCUAUCUGGAUGAGUAUUGACGCUGAGGUGCGAAAGCGUGGGGAUCAAACAGGAUUAGAUACCCGUGUAGU